GUCGAACGAUGAUGCCCAGCUUGCUGGGUGGAUUAGUGGCGAACGGGUGAGUNNNNNNNAGUAACCUGCCCCUGACUCUGGGAUAAGCGUUGGAAACGACGUCUAAUACUGGAUAUGAUCACUGGCCGCAUGGUCUGGUGGUGGAAAGAUUUUUUGGUUGGGGAUGGACUCGCGGCCUAUCAGCUUGUUGGUGAGGUAAUGGCUCACCAAGGCGACGACGGGUAGCCGGCCUGAGAGGGUGACCGGCCACACUGGGACUGAGACACGGCCCAGACUCCUACGGGAGGCAGCAGUGGGGAAUAUUGCACAAUGGGCGAAAGCCUGAUGCAGCAACGCCGCGUGAGGGAUGACGGCCUUCGGGUUGUAAACCUCUUUUAGUAGGGAAGAAGCGAAAGUGACGGUACCUGCAGAAAAAGCACCGGCUAACUACGUGCCAGCAGCCGCGGUAAUACGUAGGGUGCAAGCGUUGUCCGGAAUUAUUGGGCGUAAAGAGCUCGUAGGCGGUUUGUCGCGUCUGCUGUGAAAUCCCGAGGCUCAACCUCGGGCUUGCAGUGGGUACGGGCAGACUAGAGUGCGGUAGGGGAGAUUGGAAUUCCUGGUGUAGCGGUGGAAUGCGCAGAUAUCAGGAGGAACACCGAUGGCGAAGGCAGAUCUCUGGGCCGUAACUGACGCUGAGGAGCGAAAGCAUGGGGAGCGAACAGGAUUAGAUACC
rnacentral:rRNA from 1 species